rnacentral:lncRNA from 1 species
UUCACCCGAAACUGAUCUGCUUCCAUUUCCACUUUUCGUAAGCGCGCCCGGGCUUUUUCCAGCUGUUCAAUGGCCCCUUCACGGAGUUCUUCUGAAUUUCGAAUAGUAUUCAAAAUCCUCUGUUUUCGAUUAUCUAAUAAAUCACUUAAUGAAAGUAGAUUCUCUUUCCAUUCAUUUAAAAACUUCCAUGAUCCCUUCCCGAACCAAACAUGAAUCUUUCGAUUCAUUUGGCUCUCACGCUCAAUUACUUAUGGUAAAUUCCCAUAUCUUUUUUUGAAUGUAAUGAGCCUAUCCUCUAUUCUCUCUUCAUAUUCAAAAAUAAAAUAAAAAUAUCGUCGAAACUAAUCACUCAUCCAAAACCAAAAUAGCCGGAGGACUCUUCUGACCAAACAAAAAUAUGUAAUUGUCAGCAAAGUUGUUUCUUUUUUUUCAAAUCCAAAAAGUUUUUCUUUCUUUAUACACAAUACAUAGGUCGUCGAUUCAGCAUUGGAUAAAAAUGGGGAUUUCGUCCCCCUUUUUUUUCUAAUUUUAUAAUAGGUGGUUCAAAAAAUUUUAUCCAUAUGAGUGUUCUAUAUCGAUAAACUAUUCAUUUUUGAAAGCAUCUCUAUAUUACUAUUAAUAUAGUGGUAGAAAGAGUACCAUGCUGGGUCUGGACUUCAAGCGAUUUAGCUUUAACCAUGUUUAACGGUCCCACAUUAUUGGUUGAUAGAGAAUCAAAGUAGAUUUACCAACGAAUCACGAAAUGCUAUCGUUCUUACAUAUGAUUUAUUAAUUUAUUCAGAAGUCAUUCGUGAGAUCAUGCACCUUUCUUUCCUAGUUCUAACGGAAAAAGUACAGCUGGUUGGAUCCAGCCUAUUCUUGAAAUAAACAACUCGCACACACUCCCUUUCCAAAAAAGAUCAAUACCCCAAGCACUACACUUAGAUUUAUUAGAUUUGUUGCUAAAAUAUCGGUAUUAAACCCGAAACUCCCGGCGGACGGCCAGUGGCCCAAAGAAACGAAAGAAUCGGUUACAUUUUUCAUAUGAUCUCCUCUUAUAGAUAGACUAAAAAAAAAAAAAGAACAGAGUUCUUUUUGUAUAACCUUGCCCCUGUUCUUUUUUUAUAUAGAAAUUUUCCUAUUUUUAAAUCGAGUCAAAAAAGAUUCGAUUUAAAAAUGGCGAAUUACCCCUUUGUUGCAAUCCUUCCUAAAAGGGGAGUCCUUGGACUACGCUACGAACGGGAAGGAUGAAAGCGAGUCGGUAUGCUGAUUCCUCAUCCGCAAAUCAGCCCUUCCCGUGGGUUAUUUUCUCAACGAAUAAGAAAUUGUAGGAAUGAAAUCUUGAUAUAAUUCGAAAAAAGCAAAUGACAAGUCCAAGGCAAUAAAAUAUGAAAAAUAUUUAUUUUUCAUAUUUCUAAGAUUAAACAAAAGGAUUCGCAAAUAAAAGUGCUAAUGCUACAACCAGGCCAUAAAUUGUUAAAGCUUCCAUAAAAGCUAGACUAAGCAAUAAAGUACCUCGUAUUUUUCCCUCCGCCUCGGGCUGUCUCGCGAUACCUUCUACAGCUUGGCCCGCAGCAGUACCUUGACCAACUCCAGGUCCAAUAGAAGCAAGCCCUACAGCCAAUCCAGCAGCAAUAACGGAAGCGGCAGAAAUCAGUGGAUUCAUGAUAAGUUCCUCAUACCAAAAAAAAUAAAUGGUUAAUGAUACAAUCAGCCGAUGAAUUCUAACUUAAUUAUUCCAUCGCUA